GUUGACCCGGGGCAAGGUGUUGCUGAAGGUGACCAUGUUCUCCUUGCCCAUGGGGCUGCGGGGUGCCA
rnacentral:miRNA from 11 species